UACAGAGGAGCCAAGCGUUGUCCGGAUUGACUGGGCGUAAAGAGCUUGUAGGCGGUCUGUCGCGUCUGCUGUGAAAAUCCGGGGCUCAACCCCGGACUUGCAGUGGGUACGGGCAGACUAGAGUGUGGUAGGGGAGACUGGAAUUCCUGGUGUAGCGGUGAAAUGCGCAGAUAUCAGGAGGAACACCGAUGGCGAAGGCAGGUCUCUGGGCCACUACUGACGCUGAGAAGCGAAAGCAUGGGGAGCGAACAGG
rnacentral:rRNA from 1 species